GGGCCGGUAGCUUAGGGGUUAAAGCAGCGGACUCAUAAUCCGUUGAUCGUUGGUUCGAUUCCAACCCGGCCCA
rnacentral:tRNA from 1 species